CUACAGAAUGUACAAGAAAAACUGUCUCCAUGGUAGGAAUUUUUGUUCUAAUCAGUCCAUGGAAAGAAAAAGCUAUUAUUGAACUUCCCAGGAAUCUCCCAGGCUGAGAAGUCUACACAAUAUUCAUACGUGGCCUGAGAUGCAUAAGAGGGCUCUGCCCUGCCCUGCGCAGAGCAGGAAGAGUGCAGGGAGGAUUCGUGAGAUGCCAGUUCUGAUAACUUUCAGAUGUGGAG
rnacentral:lncRNA from 1 species